rnacentral:rRNA from 1 species
CCUGGCUCAGAUUGAACGCUGGCGGCAGGCCUAACACAUGCAAGUCGAGCGAGAAAGCCCUUCGGGGUGAGUAGAGCGGCGGACGGGUGAGUAACGCGUGGGAAUCUGUCCAGUAGUGGGGGAUAACACGGGGAAACUCGUGCUAAUACCGCAUACGCCCUAAGGGGGAAAGCAGGGGAUCUUCGGACCUUGCGCUAUUGGGUGAGCCCGCGUCGGAUUAGCUAGUUGGUGGGGUAAAGGCCUACCAAGGCGACGAUCCGUAGCUGGUCUGAGAGGAUGAUCAGCCACACUGGAACUGAGACACGGUCCAGACUCCUACGGGAGGCAGCAGUGGGGAAUAUUGCACAAUGGGCGCAAGCCUGAUGCAGCCAUGCCGCGUGUGUGAAGAAGGCUCUAGGGUUGUAAAGCACUUUAAGCAGGGAGGAAGGCCAGUUAGUUAAUAUCUGACUGGAUUGACGUUACCUGCAGAAUAAGCACCGGCUAACUCCGUGCCAGCAGCCGCGGUAAUACGGAGGGUGCAAGCGUUAAUCGGAAUUACUGGGCGUAAAGCGCGCGUAGGCGGGUUGCUAAGCCAGAUGUGAAAGCCCCGGGCUCAACCUGGGAACUGCAUUUGGAACUGGCAGGCUAGAGUACGGUAGAGGGGGGUAGAAUUUCCUGUGUAGCGGUGAAAUGCGUAGAUAUAGGAAGGAAUACCAGUGGCGAAGGCGGCCACCUGGACUGAUACUGACGCUGAGGUGCGAAAGCGUGGGGAGCGAACAGGAUUAGAUACCCUGGUAGUCCACGCCGUAAACGAUGUCAACUAGCCGUAGGGAUCCUUGAGGUCUUUGUGGCGCAGCUAACGCAAUAAGUUGACCGCCUGGGGAGUACGGCCGCAAGGUUAAAACUCAAAUGAAUUGACGGGGGCAAGAAAAAGCGGUGGCGAAUGUGGUUUAAUUCGAUGCAAAGCGAAGAACAUUACCUGGUCUUGACAUCCUGCGAACUUUAUAGAGAUAGAUUGGUGCCUUCGGGAGCUGUGAGACAGGUGCUGCAUGGCUGUCGUCAGCUCGUGUUGUGAAAUGUUGGGUUAAGUCCCGUAACGAGCGCAACCCUUGUCCUUAUUUGCCAGCACGUAAUGGUGAACUCUAAGGAGACUGCCGGUGACAAACCGGAGGAAGGUGGGGACGACGUCAAGUCAUCAUGGCCCUUACGAGCGGGGCUACACACGUGCUACAAUGGCCAGGACAAACGGUUGCGACCCCGCGAGGGCGAGCUAAUCUGAGAAACCUGGUCGUAGUCCGGAUCGCAGUCUGCAACUCGACUGCGUGAAGUCGGAAUCGCUAGUAAUCGUGAAUCAGAAUGUCACGGUGAAUACGUUCCCGGGCCUUGUACACACCGCCCGUCACACCAUGGGAGUGGAUUGCACAAGAAGUGGGUAGACUAGCCUUCGGGAGGUCGCUCACCACUUUGUGAUUCAUGACUGGGGUGAAGUCGUAACA